rnacentral:rRNA from 1 species
UACGGGGGGGGCAAGCGUUGUUCGGAAUUACUGGGCGUAAAGGGCUCGUAGGCGGCCAACUCAGUCGGUCGUGAAAUCCCUCGGCUUAACCGGGGAAUGGCGUCCGAUACUGGAUGGCUUGAGUUUGGGAGAGGGAUGCGGAAUUCCAGGUGUAGCGGUGAAAUGCGUAGAUAUCUGGAGGAACACCGGUGGCGAAGGCGGCAUCCUGGACCAACACUGACGCUGAGGAGCGAAAGCCAGGGGAGCAAACGGG